UCCUAGAGAUAGGAUUUUCCCUUCGGGGACAAUGGAUACAGGUGGUGCAUGGUUGUCGUCAGCUCGUGUCGUGAGAUGUUGGGUUAAGUCCCGCAACGAGCGCAACCCCUGUCGUUAGUUGCCAGCAUUCAGUUGGGGACUCUAACGAGACUGCCAGUGACAAACUGGAGGAAGGUGGGGAUGACGUCAAAUCAUCAUGCCCCUUAUGACCUGGGCUACACACGUGCUACAAUGGUUGGUACAAAGAGAAGCGAAGCGGUGACGUGGAGCAAACCUCAUAAAGCC
rnacentral:rRNA from 1 species